CCUACGGGUGGCAGCAGUGAGGAAUAUUGGUCAAUGGACGAGAGUCUGAACCAGCCAAGUAGCGUGAAGGAUGACUGCCCUAUGGGUUGUAAACUUCUUUUAUAUGGGAAUAAAAUGUUCCACGUGUGGGAUUUUGUAUGUACCAUAUGAAAAAACAUCGGCUAACUCCGUGCAAGCAGCCGCGGUAAUACGGAGGAUGCGAGCGUUAUCCGGAUUUAUUGGGUGUAAAGGGUGCGUAGGCGGAGGUGCAAGUCAGCGGUAAAAUUGCGGGGCUCAACCCCGUACUGCCGUGGAAACUGCAUGCCUUGAGUGCGCGAGAAGUAGGCGGAAUGCGUGGUGUAGCGGUGAAAUGCAUAGAUAUCACGCAGAACUCCGAUUGCGAAGGCAGCAUACCGGCGCUCAACUGACGCUGAGGCACGAAAGCGUGGGUAUCGAACAGGAUUAGAUACCCUAGUAGUC
rnacentral:rRNA from 1 species